CAUUAGAUGGCUGAAGGCAAGCACUGGUCUCUUAAACCAUCUCAUAGUAAUGUUGCGAUUACUUCUGAUG
rnacentral:tRNA from 1 species